UACGUAGGGUGCGAGCGUUAAUCGGAAUUACUGGGCGUAAAGCGUGCGCAGGCGGUUUUGUAAGCCAGAUGUGAAAUCCCCGGGCUUAACCUGGGAAUGGCAUUUGGGACUGCAAGGCUGGAGUGCGGCAGAGGAGACUGGAAUUCCUGGUGUAGCGGUGAAAUGCGCAGAUAUCAGGAGGAACACCGAUGGCGAAGGCAGGUCUCUGGGCCACUACUGACGCUGAGAAGCGAAAGCGUGGGGAGCGAACAGG
rnacentral:rRNA from 1 species